AAAAUUAAAAAAAUAGAUUCACUCAACAUAUUAAAUUGUGUUCAGCCAAUUCAUCAAUUAAAAGUGAAAUAUCUGUGUUAGCUGAACAAGCCUUGCGGAGAAAAAAAAGCAUGCGCAUGCCAGACAGGCGCAUGCACCUGAGAGAAACCGUUGGUAUAGUGGAUUCAAAUGUAUCUGCGCGGGAGAGUGAGGAGACUGAGGAAUCGAUGCUGAAGUACGACGAAAGAAGUUCAGACAUCAUUUUCAAACAGAUUUUUCUUCAUUUAAGUUAUGCCAAACAUCGUAGGUCUGACUCAACUGAACGACUAACUUUACGACUUUCACAUUUAGAAGAAGUCCAUGCAGUGCCGCUUCUGCAAGUUUUCAUCACCUCACCAAGACCUAAUUUUCAAGCACUACAGAACUUGCCAUUGGUCAGUUAAUGCAACUUCCUUUCCAUGUUUACACCUAGAAUGUGUUUGCAUUUUCAAGACAAUUGGAGCUUUAAAAACACAUUUGUGGAGGGUACAUCCAAAGACUGGCAACAAGGGGAAUACCACAUUUUCUUGUGACAACUGUGAUUUUAGGGACAUCUGCUCUCAAUCAACAUUUCUUCACCAUUUAAGAGGACAUCUUAAAAACCACGAGAGGGUUCAUUGUCCAUUUUUAAAUUGUAAUUUUAUUAGCAACAGUUACCGUACAUUCACAGCUCAUAACAACAGGAAGCACAAAUCCCAUGGAUUAAAUGACUUCCGGAUAUCAGUUUGUCCUGAGAACAGGUGCAAUGAUGCGAGUCCAUCUUCUUCCUUAGGAUGUGCACCAAAUUUAGAUGAAGAAGUACAAGUGCAUUUAGACGAAGAAGUACAAGUGCAUACUACUGAUACUCCUGAUGAUAAC